CUGGAUCUUCCUCUACUUCCUCAGCGUCGUCGUCUUUCUGUUCUGAAUGCGAGGACACCCAUUUCCAUUUCUGUCCCUCCACAGGGGCAGCUGACAUCGAAAAUGGUACCUCGUGUGAGUGAUCAGGUUUGAUUUGGAGACUUCCCACUUUGGCUUGAACCUCAGCUCGGAAACUUUCUCUCUCCAGAAUAGUAUUGCACAGAGCUCGGUGUUCAAGAGUGAAAUCCCAUGGCACUGCAGGUCCCCACGCAUCAACCUCUCCAUAUUCCCUGCCAGUCAACGUUCUCUGGUUUUGGGGAAGACUUCUUCCACGUGACAUGAACAGAGAGGAAUACAUUCAGGGAGAUUGGAAACAUGAGCAUGAACGUGAUCACUAACUCGGCAUUCCAAAAACGCGUAAAGAACUGAGAAGAGAGCCUGGAAACCAGUUUGAACAUCGUGUUGUGGGUAAAGUCAGCUAUUCCAUCUGUCAGUAUUCACAUCAUACACUGCAGGUAGGUACCAGGCAGGUGUCUCCAUCAGUGCCCUCACUUGGUUAUGUAUACAUACACAGAUCCACAGCAGAAAAUGAUGAACUUAAUAAGAAACCAAUAAGUCCCAAAAAACACCAUGGCCUUUAAUCCUUUAUACAGCACUCCUAAAAUGAAGAACAGAUUCAUAGCUGGCAGUUGCUAAAAAGGAAAAAAAAA